AAGUGCUCGGAUUACAUGCAUGAGCCACCUUGCCUGGCCCAAAUCUUUUAUAUUCUUAAUUUAUUGAUUUUUUACUGCUUAUUUUAUCAAUCACAGAAAUGUGUGUUGAACUAGCUCAUGAAAUAGUUGACUUGUCUAAUUUUCCUUGUAAUUCUGUCAAUUUUAGUUCAUUUUUGAAGCUAUAUUAUUAUAUUUGUAGAAGUUUAUAAUUGUUAUGCCUUAUUGGAAAAUUGAAUAUCUUAUCAUUAUAUAGUAAUCUUUUAAUCUCUAGUUCUGUUUUGUCCUAAAAUAUAUUUUUUCUGAUAUUACUGUUGCUAUACACACUUUUUGGAAACUUAGUAUUUACCUGGUACAUCAUUUUCCAGCCUUUUCUUUUCUUUUCUUUCUUUCUUUUUUUUUUUUUUUUUUUUGAGAUAGUCUCGCUCUGCUGCCCAGGCUGGAGUGCAGUGGCAUGAUCUUGGCUCACUGCAACCUCUGCCCCUCCUGGGUUCAAGCGAUUCUCCUGCCUCAGCCUCCCGAGUAGCUGGGACUAUAGGAAUGCGCCACUGCGCCCAACUAAUUUUUGUAUUUUUAGUAGAGACGGAGUUUCACCAUGUUGGCCAGGCUGGUCUUGAACUCCUAACCUCAAGUGAUCCACCCACCUUGGCCUCCCAAAGUGCUGGGAUUAUAGGUGUGAGCCAAUGCACCCAGCCAGGAGAGAUAGGAGGAAUAAGCUCCAGUGUUCUAUAGACUGUAGGAUGACUAGAGUUAACAAUAAUACAUAGUUUCAAACAGGUAGGACGAUAUUGCAUGUUCUCCACACGGAGAAAUGAGCAAUGUUUGAGAUGAUGGUAUGUUAAUUAUUAUCCUGCUCUGAUCACCAUGUAUUCUAUGUAUCAAAACAUCAGUAUGUAUCUCAUGAAUAUGCACAAUUAUUAUUUGUCUAUUUAGAAAAAUCAGGAAAAAAGAAAAAAAAAGUCGAACAAUGAUCCACGCCCACUCUCUAUUGCACAAGGGAAGGCUGAGAUUCAGAAAGGGGAAG
rnacentral:lncRNA from 1 species